rnacentral:rRNA from 1 species
AACGAACGCUGGCGGCAUGCCUAACACAUGCAAGUCGAACGAGACCUUCGGGUCUAGUGGUGCACGGGUGCGUAACGCGUGGGAACCUGCCCUUAGGUUCGGAAUAACUCCCCGAAAGGGGUGCUAAUACCGGAUAAUGUCUUCGGACCAAAGAUUUAUCGCCUUUGGAUGGGCCCGCGUUGGAUUAGCUAGUUGGUAGGGUAAAAGCCUACCAAGGCGACGAUCCAUAGCUGGUCUGAGAGGAUGAUCAGCCACACUGGGACUGAGACACGGCCCAGACUCCUACGGGAAGCAGCAGUGGGGAAUAUUGGACACUGGGCGAAAGCCUGAUCCAGCAAUGCCGCGUGAGUGAUGAAGGCCUUAGGGUUGUAAAGCUCUUUUACCCGGGAUGAUAAUGACAGUACCGGGAGAAUAAGCUCCGGCUAACUCCGUG